UUAAAUUGAAGAGUUUGAUCAUGGCUCAGAUUGAACGCUGGCGGCAGGCCUAACACAUGCAAGUCGAGCGGCAGCGGGAA
rnacentral:rRNA from 1 species